rnacentral:antisense_RNA from 1 species
CUUGAGCGAACCGAGCCACAGCGGCUGGUCGUCGAGGCGCCCCUGGCCGUACGUGGCGAGCAGCGCCUCGGCCUC